AGAGUUGAUCAUGGCUCAGGACGAACGCUGGCGGCGUGCCUAAUACAUGCAAGUCGAGCGAAUCGACGGGAGCUUGCUCCCUGAGAUUAGCGGCGGACGGGUGAGUAACACGUGGGCAACCCGCCUAUAAGACUGGGAUAACUUCGGGAAACCGGAGCUAAUACCGGAUACGUUCUUUUCUCGCAUGAGAGAAGAUGGAAAGACGGUUUACGCUGUCACUUAUAGAUGGGCCCGCGGCGCAUUAGCUAGUUGGUGAGGUAAUGGCUCACCAAGGCGACGAUGCGUAGCCGACCUGAGAGGGUGAUCGGCCACACUGGGACUGAGACACGGCCCAGACUCCUACGGGAGGCAGCAGUAGGGAAUCUUCCGCAAUGGACGAAAGUCUGACGGAGCAACGCCGCGUGAACGAAGAAGGCCUUCGGGUCGUAAAGUUCUGUUGUUAGGGAAGAACAAGUACCAGAGUAACUGCUGGUACCUUGACGGUACCUAACCAGAAAGCCACGGCUAACUACGUGCCAGCAGCCGCGGUAAUACGUAGGUGGCAAGCGUUGUCCGGAAUUAUUGGGCGUAAAGCGCGCGCAGGUGGUUCCUUAAGUCUGAUGUGAAAGCCCACGGCUCAACCGUGGAGGGUCAUUGGAAACUG
rnacentral:rRNA from 1 species